UGGCAGACGGGUGAGUAACGCGUGGGAACCUACCUUUCGGUACGGAACAACAGUUGGAAACGACUGCUAAUACCGUAUACGUCCUUCGGGAGAAAGAUUUAUCGCCGAUAGAGGGGCCCGCGUUGGAUUAGCUUGUUGGUGAGGUAACGGCUCACCAAGGCGACGAUCCGUAGCUGGUCUGAGAGGAUGAUCAGCCACACUGGGACUUAGACACGGCCCAGACUCCUACGGGAGGCAGCAGUGGGGAAUAUUGGACAAUGGGCGCAAGCCUGAUCCAGCCAUGCCGCGUGAGUGAUGACGGCCCUAGGGUUGUAAAGCUCUUUCAGUGGUGAAGAUAAUGACGGUAACCACAGAAGAAGCCCCGGCUAACUCCGUGCCAGCAGCCGCGGUAAU
rnacentral:rRNA from 1 species